rnacentral:rRNA from 1 species
AGAACUACAAGGAAUUGACGGGGGCCCGCACAAGCGGAGGAACAUGUGGUUUAAUUCGAUGAUACGCGAGGAACCUUACCUGGGCUAGAACGCAUUCGGAAUCAGGCCGAAAGGCCUGCGCCAGCGAUGGCCGCUUGCGAGGUGCUGCAUGGUUGUCGUCAGCUCGUGCCGUGAGGUGUCGGGUUAAGUCCCAUAACGAGCGCAACCCCUACUGCUAGUUGCCAGCGGGUCAUGCCGGGGACUCUAGCGGAACUGCCAGCGUAAGCUGCGAGGAAGGUGGGGAUGACGUCAAAUCAGCACGGCCCUUACGUCCAGGACUACACACGUGUUACAAUGGCCGGUACAGAGGGCAGCCACCCCGCGAGGGGGCGCGAAUCCCGAAAGCCGGUCCCAGUUCGGAUCGGAGUCUGCAACCCGACUCCGUGAAGCUGGAUUCGCUAGUAAUCGCGCAUCAGCCACGGCGCGGUGAAUACGUUCCCGGGCCUU